rnacentral:misc_RNA from 1 species
GUUGGCGUUUGGACUGUGGAAAGAAAAUCAUUGAGACUGAGCAGUAACUCGGCGAACUCACCGGGUUAUCGCCGAGCUGAAUCGGUUCGAGUUGCGAAUGAAAUUGUAAUUUGGAAUCGAUACCAACCCUAGAAAUCCAUUUGUGUGGAAGCUUUUCAUAGGGCUUCGUGAAGAUUUGGGGAAACGGAAAAUUAAAAAAAGAAAAUCG